rnacentral:rRNA from 1 species
GUGGGGAAUAUUGGACAAUGGGCGCAAGCCUGAUCCAGCAAUGCCGCGUGAGUGAUGAAGGCCUUAGGGUUGUAAAGCUCUUUUACCCGGGAUGAUAAUGACAGUACCGGGAGAAUAAGCUCCGGCUAACUCCGUGCCAGCAGCCGCGGUAAUACGGAGGGAGCUAGCGUUGUUCGGAAUUACUGGGCGUAAAGCGCACGUAGGCGGCCAUUUAAGUUAGAGGUGAAAGCCCGGGGCUCAACCCCGGAAUUGCCUUUGAUACUGGAUGGCUUGAAUCCGGGAGAGGUGAGUGGAAUUCCGAGUGUAGAGGUGAAAUUCGUAGAUAUUCGGAAGAACACCAGUGGCGAAGGCGGCUCACUGGACCGGCAUUGACGCUGAGGUGCGAAAGCGUGGGGAGCAAACAGG